rnacentral:lncRNA from 1 species
CUCAGCACCAUGGGAGAACUUGGUGAUGGGGUUGUGCAAGGUGCAAAUAGAGUCCACCUAGUAGGUAGAUAUGACGCCUAAACCAACUCUUAAGUUCUCAACAAGGUGGAUAGCAGUAGCACAGCCAUCAUGGGCUCAUCCUCAAUCUCCACCAGGUCGAUGCUUGUUGUUUCGACAGCACAAGAGCUGGAGUAGGGGCA